GGUGUGGACAGAACCCUCACCAGCACCUCUCAAGGGGCAGCCCCUCCAUUACGGCUCAGACAGCCAUGCCUUCCCCCGGAGAACUGCAGCCCCAGUGCAGGGCGGCCCCAGGCUGGUCUCGAAGACCCCAGCAGAAUUCUAAUUUCCCAUUUAUCUGUGCAGCUUCUCAGCGAUGUUAAAGGGGAAUGCUCCGCAGUUGGCUCCCAGGCUAAUUGGAUCUGGGCUCCUCUCUCUCUCCUGGGCAAGCAAGCCUCUGCCCCUCUCUGGAUGCCCACAUUCCCUCAUCUGCCAUGAUGAUGACGACGACAGCAACAACACACCCGUUGCUCACCCAGCAUUUCCCAGGCACCAGGCGCUCUUCUCAGUGUGACACGUGUCAGCUCUCCUCUGGUCCCCGCAGCAGCCCAGCGCGAGGGAAGUCAGGACUUGGAAGGUCCAGCGAUGGAGGCCCUGGACCACGGCCCCAAGGACGUGGUGACAGUGGAAGGAGUUCCAGGCUGGAAACCAGGGGACCUGGAUUUAAAUCUGUACUCAGGCCCAAACCCGCUGUGUGAUACUUUAUUUCUCUGAGAUCAAAGGCAAUGGAGAGAGUAAUAGUACCUACCUGAGGGGUGGUUGUACGGAAUAUGACAGGAACUGUAAACAGAGCACUUAUCACAGUGCCUGACACAUAGUAGGUGUUCAGUCCGGGCUUGUCACCGUUUCCCCGGGCAAAGUCCACACCAGCCUCCCAAGACUGCGGGAGCAGCACAUGGGAAAGCACCGCGUGCAACGCCCUCUCCUUUCAGAUGGAGAAACUGAGGCCCGGGGUUGCAACGAGUGAGUGGCAGGGCAGGACGCAGCCCCGGGUCUCCCAGCAGCCUCGCUGCCAGGCCGGGGUGAUGGUUCUCCUUCCAGUCUCCUUUCGCCCCGUGCGUCCCCAUCUGUCUGGCGGGGCGUCUCUCCCCUAGGAGGCCAGCUGGAGGGCUGACCCUGGCAGUCCUUUCUCGCCCAGCUGCUGGCAGGAACCAGCCUGGAUAAAUGCAAAGAGGCCCCUCUGGAGGCUGCUCCUGCCGCGUCCCCCCCCCUCCGUCCUAAUGUUAAUUUUGCCAGGGCCUUGAUAAAUCUUCCUGUCGCCUCCAUCCGCCCGAGACAUAGAUCUCAUCUUAUAGAGAGGUGACACUUCUGCCCUUUGGGACCAGCUAUCAAUUUCAGGCGGUGACCGAAGUGGAGAGCAAUGAAGAACCAGGCAGGCCCUUCUAACCCCUUCUGCCGCCUGAGCCUUCCCUCCACCCAGGGGAGCAGCCCUCCUGAGCAGCCAUCGCCUGUCCUUCAGAAGAGGUGCGGGCCCAGCCCUGGCUCUCAGCAUCGCUGCCACGCACACCUUCGGCCUGCCAGCCGGCACUUCCUCACCCGAGGCUUGCCCAGGCUUCCAGAACCGCCCGCUGCCCGCUGCCCGGCCGGAAGAGCCACGGAAUACUGUCCAGGGAGCAACUCUUACCUGCUGACCUUUGGGGGUGGACACCCUGAGCUGUGAGUUCUUCACCGGCUCCCAGAAUUCCCCAGUGGAGUUAAGCUCCAGUUGUUAAGGGGCCCCUCAUUGGCUGUCUUUCUGCCCCAUCACUUCCCCACCUGACUGCUGGUGCUUCCUGGGAGCGCCUCCCAGAUAAGCGAUUUGCCCUGGAGCCCUUUUCUGUGGGUCCCUUCUGCAGGAACCCGCACAAAGACACUCAGAAAACACUUUCUAGCAGCUCGUGAUGGGAAGCACUCUAGUCAGCAAUGGAGGUGCAGCAAGAGGUUUGGCGUGUGUGUUCCUUGCUCCUGGGUCAAUUUUCAUUCAAGCUGGAACACAUCUCUGGGAGGCCUUGUCCCAGUUGUACCGAUGAGGAAACAGAUUCUCAGAGAGGUGAAGUGACUUGCCCAAGGUCACACAGCCAGCAAACAAGAGUCACUUUUCAAACUCAGACAGCACACCAUCUCAUUCCCUGGACUCUCCCUCCUGGGUAGAGAGACAUGACCUGGAGGCAGGGUUCGCCUCCAGGUGUGAUCAUCAGCUCAGUAGAUCACACCUGGAGUCUUACUGCUGGGCAGCCUUCUGCAAGGUGCUAAGGACACCACCAUGAAAAGCUGCAGUUCCUGAUCUCCAAGGGCUGAGAUCGGGCGGGGGAGAUGGAUGCAGGAGAGACAGUAUGGCUGGGACCCCUCCCAGAAUGCACUGCAGCAUCUUUCUUACACUACUCUCUUCUUAGAAUCUUGGGAGCUUUGUGCUGGGAGGCAUCUGAGGGACUGUCUGCUUCAACACCCUUAUUUUAUAGAUGAGGCAGUUGAAGCCCCAAAGAGAUAGGGACUCCCUGGAGAUCAGACUCCAGGGCCCGGCUCUUGUCUUGGAAUUCUGCUGAGCAUCGCCCACCAUGCCCCCUAAGCUGUGCUUUGGUCUUGCCCUGCAACUCCCCAAGACAGCCAGAGGCCCCAUCAGGCUCAUAAGCAGUUCUCAAAACCCAGAAGCCUCCAAGUUAAAAAAACAAAACAAAA